rnacentral:rRNA from 1 species
UACGUAGGGUGCGAGCGUUGUCCGGAAUUAUUGGGCGUAAAGGGCUCGUAGGCGGUUUGUCGCGUCGGGAGUGAAAACCCCGGGCUUAACUCGGUGCUUGCUUUCGAUACGGGCAGACUAGAGGUAUGCAGGGGAGAACGGAAUUCCUGGUGUAGCGGUGAAAUGCGCAGAUAUCAGGAGGAACACCGGUGGCGAAGGCGGUUCUCUGGGCAUGUCCUGACGCUGAGGAGCGAAAGUGUGGGGAGCGAACAGG